ensembl:lncRNA
GAAAAAAAUAAAAAAUAAAUGAGUAACAACUUGUCAGUAUACACUGGGUACCAGGUAAUAACAUGGUUAUAUACACAGGGUACCAGUACUGAGUAGAUGUGCAGGGGUAUGAGGUAAUAACAUGGUUAUAUACACUGGGUACCAGUACUGAGUAGAUAUGCAGGGGUAUGAGGUAAUAACAUGGCUAUAUACACAGGGUACCAGUACUGAGUAGAUAUGCAAGGGUAUGAGGUAAUAACAUGGUUAUAUACACACUAUUUAGCAGUCAACCAGGAUUUCUGGAAAAUGUAGGAAUUUGGUGAAAGCUGAAUUUAGCAACCCUAGCUUGGAUGAAAUACUACAUGCAGACACAGUAACAUGGUUAUAUACACAGGGCACCAGUACUGAUGAAAUACUACAUGCAGACACAGUAACAUGGUUAUAUACACAGGGCACCAGUACUGAUGAAAUACUACAUGCAGACACAGUAACAUGGUUAUAUACACAGGGCACCAGUACUGAUGAAAUACUACAUGCAGACACAGUAACAUGGUUAUAUACACAGGGCACCAGUACUGAUGAAAUACUACAUGCAGA